AGCUGCCCUGACAGGUCUCAUGAAAGGCCAAAUCCGGGAAAAGUCCGCAGCGACUUGCGGCGCGUGAUCGCGUAAGGCAUAUGCAGCGUGUGGAGACGUGGCCGAGCGGCUGAAGGCNACUCGUUUGCUAAAUGAGCAUACCUUGAAAAGGGUAUCGAGGGUUCGAAUCCCUCCGUCUCCGCCACGAACAUUCAAAUCAUCGACAUUGCUGGACGAGACGCCGGCGAACUCCGCAUCGAC
rnacentral:misc_RNA from 1 species